rnacentral:rRNA from 2 species
CGCGGAGGUCCAAGUUGUAUUUUGCAAAGGAUGCUUCUGGCGCGGCGCCUUCCGAGUUCCCUGGAACGGGACGCCGCAGAGGGUCAGAGCCCCGUCCGGUCGGACGCCUACCCUGUGUGAAGCACCUUCAACAAGUCGGGUAUUUUGGGAAUGCUGCCCUAAAUGGGAGGUAUAUGUCUUCUAAAGCUAAAUACCGGCCAGAGACCGAUAGCGCACAAUUAGAGUGAUCGAAAGAUGAAAAGCACUUUGAAAAGAGGGUUAAACAGUACGUGAAAUUGUUGAAAGGGAAGCGCUCAUGACCAGACUUGGGCCCGGGGGAUCACCCGGCGUUCUUCGCCGGGGCACUUCGCCGGCUGCCCAGGCCAGCAUCAGUUCGUGGCGGGGGACAAAGGCUUCGGGAACGUGGCUCCCUACGGGGAGUGUUAUAGCCCGCUGCGCAAUGCCCUGCCGCGGACUGAGGUUCGCGCUUCCGCAAGGAUGCUGGCGUAAUGGUCAUCAGCGACCCGUCUUGAAACACGGACCAAGGAGUCGUCUUCGUAUGCGAGUGUUCGGGUGUCAAACCCCUACGCGUAAUGAAAGUGAACGCAUGUGAGAGCUUCCGCGCAUCACCGAUCGAUCCUGAUGUUCUCGGAUGGAUUUGAGUACGAACAUACGGGGCCGGACGCGAAAGAAGGUGAACUAUGCCUGUAUAGGGUGAAGCCAGGGAAAACUCUGGUGGAGGCUCGCAACGGUUCUGACGUGCAAAUCGAUCGUCAAAUAUGGGCAUGGGGGCGAAAGACUAAUCGAACCUUCUAGUAGCUGGUUUCCGCCGGAUUUCCCUCAGGAUAACACUGUUGAGUCUCAUUUUUAUGAGGUAAAGCGAAUGAUUAGGGACCCGGGGGCGCUCUUUAGCUUUAAUCCAUUCUCAAACUUUAAAUAUGUAAGAAACCCUUUUUACUUUGGUGAACGUGGGCCUUCAAAUGUUUCAACCCUAGUGGGGCCUUUUUUGGUAAACAAAACUGGCGAUGCGGGAUGAACCAAACCCCAGGUUAAGGUG